UCUCAUGGCUGUAGUGGCAAUGCAAAUGAUGAUCUACUAUCUGCAAAGGAGAAGAACAAGUCUGGGAAAUUGGAGGACGUUUCCAAAGUUGUGGUGGUGGAAAAGAAGAAGUCGUCAUUCAGUCGAUCGAGCUCUUCCCUGUCAAAACAAUUGACUAGUAGUGAUGUGGAGAAGAAGGAAGUCCACCAUGUGAGGUCAAGAUCAUUGAAUCUGAGGUCAGUCCCUUCAUCUCCAUCGGACUGUUUCCCGUCACCUGUGUCCGAGAAGCUCCACUCUGAAGUUACGCAGCAGGCAAAGGUUAAUGUGCCAGAGAAGACUUCACCUUCAAGGUUUGGAUUGUUGGGGAGGGCAGCUUCUGUUUUAAAAGCAACCACAGCUGGUAGGAAAUCAUCUGCCGGGACUUUGAUUGGAAAUUUGGUUCCAGCUUUCAAGUCAGGAUCAAAGGUUCUGAGGAAGAGCUGGGAAGAGAACAUGGAGUUAAAGGAUAGGGAUAAUUCUACUCCUAGGGCAACAAAGAAAGAGAUCAAACCUGAAACCCGAAGCAUUUCUGUAAGAAGCCGAUACUUCAGAUCUUCUUUAUGCAUGAUAAUUAGCAGCUGCUAGCUUUAUGUAAUUCAUUUAGCUUCUUUAUAUCUAUGUCAAAAUCUAGGAGCAGCAUUUUGCUGAUAGUCUUGUUGAUCCUUCUUAUUCGAUAUUAGAAUUCUUUGAAAACUUUUGAAAUGAGAACAUCAUUCUUGGGUUCUUAUUAGCAUCUUCUAUUUUUGCACUGUCAGAUACAAUUUCGAUUGCACAUUCAUGAUGUACCUUUUCAUUUUGAAGUUCUAUGUUAUAUGUCAUUAUGGAAAUACUGAUUUUUCACUAGUUUUUUUGUACUUAGGCUUGCCAUGGAACUAUUAUCUUUAAGAGCAAGAAUUUAUGAGGAUGCAAAGAAGUCAUGGUUGCACAUAGAAUAGUAAAUUGAGUAAUAAAACAAAUCAAUGCAAUGAUGACAUUAGAAUAAAUGGUUGAUUAUGUAGCAUAAUAACUGAUUAUGUCAAUGCCAAUUUCUAUCCAAUUAUCAAUCCACAUAAGGAAUAUAAAAAAGAUAAUAAAUAAAAGUAAUUGCAACUAUGCUGCAGUGUAUCAGAAAAUCUAUAAUUUUCCAUUAUGCCCUGCAGGCUCCCCGAAAAAACACACUCACAACUGAGAGGCUGUCACAUAAAGAGGACAGCAAGGUUCAGACUACCGGAAAGAAAGGCAAAGUUGAUGCUGAUCUGGAAGAUCAUGAUAAGUCGAUUAAGCAACAGCCUGCUGUAAAGAAAACUUCAGUUUCCUCAUGUAAUCUAACCCCUGAAAGCUCAUCUACAUUUGUCCCCAGUAAUGUUUCUUGGGCAUCACUUCCAUCUUCUCUAGCAAAACUUGGAAAGGUACUGUUUGUGUCAUCAUGUACAAGCAUGCAGAAAAGCAUCUCUUUCCAUUUCUUUGUCCAUCGAUUCAAUUAUAUUCUUCUAUGUUAGCUCACGGUUAGGUUCUUUGAUCAAACAAAUAUAAUUUGACACAUAAGUGUAUCUAGAUCUUUUAUUGGCAUCUUUUCUUUUUGUUCUUUGUUUUCUUUGUUAACUUUGUGGUACUCAUUCUAGGAAGUACUGGAGUAUCGAGAUGCUGCACAACGAGCUGCUAUUGAGGCCUUGCAGGAAGCUUCUGCUGCAGAGACCCUGAUUCAGUGUAUGAGGUACAUGGCUUUCCAUGAAUAUAGGGCAUAAUCUAUCCUAGUAUCUUGAACUCUAUCGAACUUGCUUUUAGAAUUGGUUUAUGCUUUAAUCACAGUAAUUCAAAUUAGUUCGCGACUCAAUAAAUUGUCGAUCAUUUGUUCGGCUUUCCAGUCAUCUCUAAUUUCAAAUUUUGCUAUAUUCUUGGAGGUUAAUGCCUACCCCUAAGAGAUGUCCCAUUGCAAUUUGGGUUUCACAUGGCAUAACAUGGCCUGUAAGCAUAUCAUCGUAGAUAGCAUCUAAUAUUCUAAAAGGCAAUCAUGUAAUGCAGGUGAUUAAUGUGCAUAAAUCUGUUACAUAAAAGUAGGACAAAUCAAGAACUCUGAAAUAAAAAACUACACAAUUAAAAAAAAAGUCAAGGUGAUGAUUAUGGAUUAUUGUAUAGACGUAUGUGAUUAACAUACCAUCGUUGACUAUGUUUUAUUCCAUAAAAUUAAUAUGAAAUCAUGAGCUGCAUAUGCAAUGUAAUCCUUUCUUUCAGAAUCCUAGAUUUAUUAGAAUCCAUAAACUAUUUAUCUCUCUGCCCCAGAAUUGUCAUGCUUUUCUUUAAUUGUUUGUCCUUUUUGAGCAGAAACUGUGAAUAUCUAUUUGUUCUCGAGUUAUUCAAUGAACUGAAUGGCAGAGAAGGGUGUCAUGAACAUGCUGCUAUUUUACAUUUUAAAUACUAGUCAGAAGCUCAGAUUUAACUAACUUUCAUUAAUGUAAUUGAAGAGCAAAACAAUAUGUCAUGAUGUAGGCAUAACUCACUAAAACCUUUCUUUUUUACAAAGAGAGACAGAAAAUGAUUACAAGUAAUGCCCCCAUCAAUCGGAGCAAUCCUGUUGAGUCCAGCAAAACUCAUUUAAGACUACUAUAGUUUGAUAUACAUCAAGUAGAGUAGGUACUUUUUUAUGCCAAAUGAUACCACUAAUGCUGACAGUGCAAUGUUCAAGAGAAAGAUCCUUUUAGUUUGUAGAGAAGAUGGAGAACACCUUUGAUUGUUCUGAACAGUGGGCCUUCUUGACCAAACUUACUACUGUGUUGAUCACAGUAAGAUCCUGACUCUGACAAAUCUCUGCAUUAUUGGACUGAGUACCUAUGCUCUGACAUUACUGCCUCUUGUUUCUUGUUUCUUUUUACUUGAUAACAGUUUGAAUCAAAUUUGUUUAGCCACUCUGAUUAUAACAUCACAAAUCAAUAUUAGUGUAUGUGGAGAUACCAUGUCAACUCUGAAGUUAUUAGAAAAGUAUUUACUAUUUAGGAAGCUAAACUGCAAAGAAUCAAAGGUAGAUAAAAAUGGUCACUUGAUUCAAAAGUAAUUAGAAAGCUACUAGCCAAGUUUAGUAGUUGGCUAAAUGCAGUCUUUUGAGUAGUCAGAGAAGUCGAACAUCCUAAAAGGCCUGUGGACAUACAUAACCAAUACUAAUUGAAUUGCUAAAACUCAUGUGAAGUAAAUAGCACUACCAUGCCUCUGGUGCUAAUCUGGCACAAGAAAUUUGCCCAAAGGCUUGUUGAUGAGAUUUUGUCAUCAUAAAGCUUCAAAAACCACAGAAUUUUUCCUUUAACACUGUGUUGGAUGACAUUGAAGGGAGACACAAGAAUGUGCUUCUUAUGUCAGAAUAAAAUGUCAGUGACAGAUCUCCAACCCAUAUUUACUUUUCUCUCUUUCUCUCCCUCUCUCUCUUAGUAGAUGAAAUGUUCAUGAGAUGCUCUCUUUAGAAUCAUAGCAAUGCAAUAACUUGCAACAAAUGUUUCCAAUUAAUAAAUCUUCAGUACAGGAUUUGUAGUCUGAUUUGAAUUGUGUGGCAAAUUUUGUGUACCAAAUGUCAACUAAUAUGUAACUAUUAUGACAUUUGGCAUUUGGAACUUGAUAUCUAAUACAAGUGAAUAUAUGUAUAUUAGCAAGCAACCUCUACUUGCAGAGGAAUCAUAGAUAACAACAUUGAGAAAGUGAGAUUAAUCAAAUCAUAACCAUUAAUAACAAAUGCUUCCCAUUUUGGAAUCAUGUGAUCCUUUUUAUUUCAGAAUAUUUGUAUUUAUUAUAAUUCAAAAAAAUAUUUCUUUCCUCUCUUCUUUCAUGGUUUAAUUGUCUUACCUGUUUUGAGCAGCAUGUACGCCGAGUUACGAUCCUCCGCGGAGGAUGAUAACCCGCAACAGGCAGUGGAGCAGUUCUUCGCACUAUUCGGUACCCUCACCCGCGCCGGCCUCGUCGCUGACUCCCUCUUCAAACUCGCUGUAACCUCACCGACCGACCCGCUGGGUGGUGACCCGACCAUGGAGGAGGCUCUCCGCGUCUCCGGGGUCCACCGGAAGCUCGCCGCUGCUUGGAUCCACACCGCCAUCGCCACCGACCUCUCCGCGUUCUCCCUCUACGGCCCCGGCGCUUCUCCUUCGAAGCAUCGGGGGACAACGGUCUCGGUGGUCCUCGAAGCCCCGCGCAAACCCGCAUCCCCUUUAAAGCCCACGUCUUCCUCCACUUCGUCCGCCCCCACCGCCGUUUCUCAGAUCAAGCAGCGCUCCUCGGCUUCGAUCCAGAAGCCCCGGGCGCCUCCGCCGCUCCCCCCGCCGCGAGAGUGGGUGAGCGGGCAAGGCGUGGCGGAGGUGGCGGCGGUCGGGCGAGCGCUGAGGCGGGAGGUGAGGGGGUGGUUCCUAGGGUUCGUGGAGCGGUUCUUGGACGCCGACGCGGCGGCCGCGGACGGGCCACGCGACCGCGACCUGGUGGCGGGGACGCUGUCGCAGCUGAAGAGGGUGAACGACUGGCUAGACGGCGUCGGGGAGAGGGGCGGCGACGGGAUGGCGGAGGACGGCGGCGUUCCACCGGAGACGAUCGAGCGGUUGAGGAGGAAGAUCUUCGACUACCUCAUCGCGCACGUCGAGUCGGCCGCCGUGGCGCUGGGCGGUGGCCGACAUGGCGUGCCGGCGUCGUCGUCAUCGCGCACCUCGUCCGUGCACGAAUCACGGAGCGCGAACAGGUACUAAAUUGCAACGGGUCACGUGGAGCGAUGCUAAGCAAUCUUAAUUCGUCUUUGGUGUCUGAAGGCCGUCAGCUGAUACAAUCACUGGAGGGCAAGUGGCCGUCCACAAUAUGAAGAUAUGUAUAUUUUGUUGCUCAAUAUCCUAUUUAUUUUCCACCCCAAAAAAUAUAUUAGAUAUUAUUAACACUCUUCCGACAUCCACCUGUAUAGCUCACAAAUAAGAUUGGUUUUUUGAGAGAGUUGAUGAUGACAAAAAAAUGUAUCUGAAUGAACGAAUUGUAGCCAAAGAUUCUGAUCAUAUUAAAUAUUAUUAUUAUUAUGCUCGUGUCUUCCUAUGUUAGUCUAUAAUUAUGUAUAUGCUGAAAUAAAUAAAACCGUAUUUAAAGUUCGAU
rnacentral:lncRNA from 1 species